AUUGAACGCUGGCGGCAGGCUUAACACAUGCAAGUCGAGCGGAGAUGAGGUGCUUGCACCUUAUCUUAGCGGCGGACGGGUGAGUAAUGCUUAGGAAUCUGCCUAUUAGUGGGGGACAACAUUCCGAAAGGAAUGCUAAUACCGCAUACGUCCUACGGGAGAAAGCAGGGGACCUUCGGGCCUUGCGCUAAUAGAUGAGCCUAAGUCGGAUUAGCUAGUUGGUGGGGUAAAGGCCUACCAAGGCGACGAUCUGUAGCGGGUCUGAGAGGAUGAUCCGCCACACUGGGACUGAGACACGGCCCAGACUCCUACGGGAGGCAGCAGUGGGGAAUAUUGGACAAUGGGCGGAAGCCUGAUCCAGCCAUGCCGCGUGUGUGAAGAAGGCCUUUUGGUUGUAAAGCACUUUAAGCGAGGAGGAGGCUACCUGGAUUAAUACUCUAGGAUAGUGGACGUUACUCGCAGAAUAAGCACCGGCUAACUCUGUGCCAGCCGCCGCCGUAAAAC
rnacentral:rRNA from 1 species